rnacentral:rRNA from 1 species
UACGUAGGUGGCAAGCGUUGUUCGGAAUUAUUGGGCGUAAAGGGCGCGUAGGCGGUUUGUUAAGUCGGCUGUGAAAGCCCGGGGCUCAACCCCGGAGGGUCAGCCGAUACUGGCAGACUAGAGUACGGAAGAGGUAGCUGGAAUUCCCGGUGUAGCGGUGAAAUGCGUAGAUAUCGGAAGGAACAUCAGUGGCGAAAGCGACUUCCUGGACCAAUACUGACGCUCAUGUGCGAAAGCGUGGGGAGCAAACAGG